rnacentral:rRNA from 1 species
CCUACGGGGUGCUGCAGUGAGGAAUAUUGGUCAAUGGACGAGAGUCUGAACCAGCCAAGUAGCGUGAAGGAUGACUGCCCUAUGGGUUGUAAACUUCUUUUAUAUGGGAAUAAAACGUUCCACGUGUGGGAUUUUGUAUGUACCAUAUGAAUAAGGAUCGGCUAACUCCGUGCCAGCAGCCGCGGUAAUACGGAGGAUCCGAGCGUUAUCCGGAUUUAUUGGGUUUAAAGGGAGCGUAGGUGGAUUGUUAAGUCAGUUGUGAAAGUUUGCGGCUCAACCGUAAAAUUGCAGUUGAAACUGGCAGUCUUGAGUACAGUAGAGGUGGGCGGAAUUCGUGGUGUAGCGGUGAAAUGCUUAGAUAUCACGAAGAACACCGAUUGCGAAGGCAGUUCACUGGACUGCAACUGACACUGAGGCUCGAAAGUGUGGGUAUCAAACAGGAUUAGAUACCCUGUAGUC